GAUGAACGCUGGCGGCGUGCCUAAUACAUGCAAGUCGAGCGAAAAGAUGAGGAGCUUGCUCCUCGGACGUUAGAGGCGGACGGGAGAGUAACAUGAGGAUAACCUAACUAUAAGACUGGGAUAACUACGGGAAACCGGAGCUAAUAACGGAUAAUAUAUUGAAGCGCAGGGUUCAAUAGUUAAAGACGGUGUUGCUGUCACUUAUAGAUGGAUCCGCGCCGCUUUAGCUAGUUGGUAAGGUAACGGCGUACUAAGGCGAGGAUGCGUUGCCGACCCGGGAGGGGGAUCGCGCACACGGGGGCUGAACCACCACCCUGGGUCCUACGGGAGGCCGCAGUACCGAAGCGUGCGAGAUGGGGGGAAUCUUGACCGAGCAACGCCGGGUUGAUGCUGAAGGUCCUCGGGUCGGAAAACUCUCUUAGUGGUGAAGAACAAAUUUGUCAGGAACUAUGCACGUUUUGACGGUACCUGAUCAGAAAGCACCGGCUAACUACGUG
rnacentral:rRNA from 1 species